GGAAAAGGCCAGUUCUCACCGCGAAGGGAACGUACAGCUGGGGAAGUGUGUUCCCUGACCGUUUCUCUCCACCCCUCUGGCUGAUUGGACCCGGGCGCCCCCCAGAUUCCCGGUUCUCGGGCUGGAUUUCGAGAAGAAAAACCAAAAGGGGCAGACUUACCUAACUCCUCGGGGCUGUAGGGCGCGGAUGAGGCUUCUUCCACAAACUCACUGUCUGGAGGAAGAAGAAAAGCAGAAAACAAAAAUAGAAUCGCAACCAUUCAGGGCUAAUGGAUUAAGCAUCAGUUACCGUCGUAGGUCUCUUAGAAAAGCGCGGGUUUCUCUCCCGCAGCGACCGGAAUCCGUGAACCGGGGGACACGCGGGGUCCCAGAUGCCCCAUCCACUAGGGCAAGGAAGGAGGAGCUUUCAAUACUCCCAACCAUCUCCUUGUUUCUGAACCUGAAUUCUAACUCCACUCCAAACAAUAUUUCCUCCUCUUAAGAGACUACGUGGUUCGAGCAAGGAAGGCAAUAUGUCUCCAUUUCACAGGAGAAGCCAAACAGGAAAAGUGUGAGACAGACCAAGCACGGUGCCUUUCUCUCCCACAUAGAAGGCUUAGGCAUGCGGAGUCCCCUCUUUUUUUUUUUUUAAUAAAUUCAUUUAUUUUAUUUAUUUA